rnacentral:ncRNA from 1 species
AAACGUGAGAGUUCGAUCCUGGCUCAGGAUGAACGCUGGCGGCGUGCCUAACACAUGCAAGUCGAACGGAGAAUAUACGCUUCAGAAGCUUCGGCAGAUGAUUGUAUAUUCUUAGUGGCGGACGGGUGAGUAACGCGUGGGUAACCUGCCUCAUACUGGGGGAUAACAGCUGGAAACGACUGUUAAUACCGCAUAAGCGCAC